rnacentral:rRNA from 1 species
ACAGGUGGUGCAUGGUUGUCGUCAGCUCGUGUCGUGAGAUGUUGGGUUAAGUCCCGCAACGAGCGCAACCCCUACGUUUAGUUGCUAACGCGUGAAGGCGAGCACUCUAGACGAACUGCCGUUGACAAAACGGAGGAAGUGGGAUGACGUCAAAUCAUCAUGCCCCUUAUGUUCUGGGCUACACACGUGCUACAAUGGCCGGUACAGACGGACGCAAAGCCGCGAGGCGGAGCAAAUCCGAAGAAGCCGGUCUCAGUUCGGAUUGCAGGCUGCAAUUCGCCUGCAUGAAGUCGGAAUCGCUAGUAAUCGCAGGUCAGCAUACUGCGGUGAAUACGUUCCCGGGCCUU